rnacentral:rRNA from 2 species
AACGAACGCUGGCGGCAUGCCUAACACAUGCAAGUCGAACGAAGCCUUCGGGCUUAGUGGCGCACGGGUGCGUAACACGUGGGAAUCUGCCCUUCGGUUCGGAAUAACAGUUAGAAAUGACUGCUAAUACCGGAUGAUGACGAAAGUCCAAAGAUUUAUCGCCGAAGGAUGAGCCCGCGUAGGAUUAGGUAGUUGGUAGGGUAAUGGCCUACCAAGCCGACGAUCCUUAGCUGGUCUGAGAGGAUGAUCAGCCACACUGGGACUGAGACACGGCCCAGACUCCUACGGGAGGCAGCAGUGGGGAAUAUUGGACAAUGGGCGAAAGCCUGAUCCAGCAAUGCCGCGUGAGUGAUGAAGGCCUUAGGGUUGUAAAGCUCUUUUACCAGGGAUGAUAAUGACAGUACCUGGAGAAUAAGCUCCGGCUAACUCCGUG